UAUUUAAGGCUCUGAACAUUGGAUAGCUGCUCAGACCAAAGAGGCAAUACUGGUGUAAGCAGAAGAUUACCUUUCAAGGAAAGAAAUUUCCUGUUGAAUCCAGAUGGAACAAACACAGAAGAUGCUUACAGAAAUCACUGCUACCUGCAAGGCUGAAAAGCUGGCCUAAAGGAUAAAGCAAGAACUAGAGGCUUCUUAAAAGGAAUUAAAGCAAGAAAACCACUUGACAACUUCUCGAAACCUAUUAAAGCUACAUCCAGAGGUUUCCCAGAAAGGGCUAAGAUAUGACCUGCAGUUGGAAAUAAUUACUUGGUGAAGGCAGCAGCUACAAAGUGACUAGACAGCUUGGGAAACAGUUACAAAAUAUUCACUCUGGACUGGCAAAAUAGAUUGAUAAGGUUACCAGCAACCUGACCACAUAUUUUCUAGGGUAUAAGGAAGACUGAGAAAGCCUCGGCCAGCAUGGGAUUUGCUAACAGAGAUAAGCUGCAGCAAGGACUCAAAGAGCCUGGGGGGGAAAAAAAAUCACCAGGAGAAAGAAUUCAGAGGCUUGAAGAUCACAGCUGAAGCCAGCCAUCUGCCUGGGGUUUCAGAACAGUGAGAGAAUCGGCAGCCCAACAGAAGAGAGCAGUCACUAGUGAGGGAAACAGAAGCUGAUUGCCAUGAGCCCUAGAAACAUCAUCACAGGCACUUGGGCAACAUAAUGCUGUGAAACAACGUUGGGCACAAGCACACACAUGCCAGCAAAACAGCACCCAAGCUCUAGUGAUGAGGUCUGAGGCAGAUGUUCCAGAUGCUUAUCUAAAAAAAAAAGAACUUUAAAAGACAAAAGUUUCUAGGAGGUAGGUUAUAAAUGAAAACUUAUCUCGGGAUCAAUUUAUCCCCCCAAAAAAUGACUAAAAUGUAUAAAUUAUUUGUUUUCUUAAAUAUAUUAUUUGGGGUAAACUUAGCAUUGGGAUAAACAGUAGGAUAACCAAAGUUAAUCACAAAAGCCAAGCACAGAUCAAAUCAUCGCAUCAUGUGUAUUACAAGCUGGCUGUUCUGUUCUAAAAUUGGACAGCUCUAUAGGUUUUUACAUUGCCAUUAUCACUGUUGUAUCCAAGUACCUUCCAGUGAAGUGCCAUGAGAUUUGUCCUCUCUCCCUUUCCCCAAGAGGAGGAUUGUGUAAGCUGGAUAUUGUUUUGUUUUGGUAUUAUUCUUACUGCGUGUGCUACUUUGUGUUUAUAUCAGAGACCACAGAGAAGCACAUUUGGCACUUGAAGAAAAAGGUGAUGAGGCCUGUGAUGAUCUUCAUUUUUUAUAUAAGUUCAUUUCACAGGCAUAAGCCAGCCCUCAAGAAAGUUGUUUCUCCUGUACAGACUGGCUGUACCAUCAAGGUAGAAAAUUCCAUUUUAGAAGGGUGUGGAGUUGUAAGCCAUGGUCCUUAUCUUUGUGCCUUGUGUAAUUUUUAGGCAUCCUGGCUCCAGACAGUUAAGCUGCGGGAUCAAGAUCUUGAACUUGACUUCAGUUAGCUUAGCAAAUAUUCUUGCCCUGAAAGGAGUCACAGUUUUAGCUGUGAAGUGGGUCAAAUAUAAAGGUUUUGUCUAGUAUUGCUUAAGUUUCAGAGAGGCCCACAAAAGCCCUCUUAUAGGCAUUCACUGUGUGCAAGCCUGUGUUUAAACAAGAUGCUAGACAACUGUAAAAGAAGAAAAGAGGCACUCUGGUACGGGAGAGAGGGAGGCCUGCCCACAGUAUAGUGGGAAUAGGAAAUACAGCAGAUACAAAUCUUCUAUUUGGGGACAAUGGUAAAACAUACUCAUAUCAAUUAUCAUAUCAAUGGAACUCAUUGCCACAAGAUUUUGUGCAAGAUGACAGUUUAACCAGAUUAAAAAGGGGAUUGGACACAUUCCUGGAGGAAAGUUGCAUCGGUAGCUAUUGAGCAUGGGAGUUAGGGGUACAGCCUCUGAAUCAGAACUUCCAAGCCCAUAAAUGCUGGAGGUUGCAGGUGGGAGAGGAACAGGGGAAAAGCCCUCAUCAUACCCAGUUCACUCUCCCUUUUACCAUCCAUUCUACCACUGAGACACAGGAUACUGUAAAGAUAGACCUCUGGUCUGUCCCAGUAAAUGACAUUUCUUGUGUUCUUAUCUUCUUUUUCAGAGGUCUUGGAGCCAGCUUGGUUAGUUUUAAUGCAACUCAUUCCAGAAGAUAUGAAGAAGCUUAAAUGUUGUCAGAAUUGGCUUAUAUCUGCUCCCGCUGAUGGCAUCGUCAAAUGGGCAUUCAACCAUUGAUUUUAGUGUGAGCAGAGAGUUUUUGAAAAGACAACUUUUAAAAACCCCACGAAUAAACUUUAUAGAAAACCAAAGACAAUGAUAUAAAUUAGUAGUGCUCACAUUUUUCAGCACAGGCUGGAUGAGUGGGAUGCAGCCAAUCCUUGCUGUACAGACUGAAAGCUGUGUCACCUGUACAAAGUAGCUGUACAGAUACCAGAUCUGGCCCGCAAACCAACCCCCUGUAUUGGUUCUGGAACCAUGCACAAGGCCUGGGUCUGCAGACUUGAUCUAAUCCUGAACACUGUUUCCAGCUGCAGACA